UCAACCUGGAAUAUUAAGGAAAUAAACUAUUCAAAUCUGAACACGGUACCAGUUUGUUACCUUGAGUUGUCUUUCUGUGAAUAUAUUCAGGCAGGCGCACGGCCAUAAUCACGGGGAAGAAGGCGCAUCCACCAGUUACCAUUUUCACCUUCCUGUAUUUGAGAACAAUGAUAAACCACACAAGGUAAAAUCAUCUAGAAGCAACAAAAUAUCAAAAAAAAUGGUUGAAUAUUAUCAAUUAUGUUCAAGGAAGAAACCGAGUAAGAUUACCUUUUGCUCGUCUUCACUCUUCAAUACCGAGGGAGCUAUCCAUGGCCAGCCGCUUAUACAUAGUUGAGAUGGAAACGGAUUUAGACCUGGAAGGAAAACGAAAAUUCGAAUAGUGUAUAUUUUGUAACACCAAAAUCAUUUUUUUUUACGAUUCUAGAAAUAGAUUUCAUAAGCAUUACUGCAUUGAUAAAACUGUGAGCACGUCAGCUGCAAGACACUUACCUGAAGAUUUUCCAGAGCACAACUAGUCUUUACGCUUCUAUCUCGGUCCACAAUAGAGGCAUAAGUGGCCAACAACAAACGAAAUCUUGAAACAACAAAAAACAAAGAGAUGGAUAAAUUUGUAACAAUAAUUAGUAAAGAGAUGGAAAUUUCAAAAGCAAGUCUAAUAUAGCAUAAUGUUCUUUGUGCAAGUAAUUUGGUUUUGCUGGACUAGUCGAGUGACUUCGUUCCUACUACAUGAUCAGAUCCACCGUUUUCCCCACUGUCUUCGAGCCCUCCCAUGGGCAGACUAGUCAACAUGCAAAACUUGUACCGUCGUAGUGUGAACAAACUUUGUAGCCAUAAUAUUGAAGAGAUUUCGAAACAAUAAUUGGUGAAGAUUUUGCUUGCUGUCACUUUUGCUCCAUUGGUUUUGUUGUGUCUAGACUUGCAAAUUAAUU
rnacentral:lncRNA from 1 species